GGUAGCACAGAGGAGCUUGCUCCUUGGGUGACGAGUGGCGGACGGGUGAGUAAUGUCUGGGAAACUGCCCGAUGGAGGGGGAUAACUACUGGAAACGGUAGCUAAUACCGCAUAACGUCGCAAGACCAAAGAGGGGGACCUUCGGGCCUCUUGCCAUCGGAUGUGCCCAGAUGGGAUUAGCUAGUAGGUGGGGUAACGGCUCACCUAGGCGACGAUCCCUAGCUGGUCUGAGAGGAUGACCAGCCACACUGGAACUGAGACACGGUCCAGACUCCUACGGGAGGCAGCAGUGGGGAAUAUUGCACAAUGGGCGCAAGCCUGAUGCAGCCAUGCCGCGUGUAUGAAGAAGGCCUUCGGGUUGUAAAGUACUUUCAGCGAGGAGGAAGGUGUUGUGGUUAAUAACCGCAGCAAUUGACGUUACUCGCAGAAGAAGCACCGGCUAACUCCGUGCCAGCAGCCGCGGUAAUACGGAGGGUGCAAAGCGUUAAUCGGAAUUACUGGGCGUAAAGCGCACGCAGGCGGUCUGUCAAGUCGGAUGUGAAAUCCCCGGGCUCAACCUGGGAACUGCAUCCGAAACUGGCAGGCUAGAGUCUUGUAGAGGGGGGUAGAAUUCCAGGUGUAGCGGUGAAAUGCGUAGAGAUCUGGAGGAAUACCGGUGGCGAAGGCGGCCCCCUGGACAAAGACUGACGCUCAGGUGCGAAAGCGUGGGGGAGCAAACAGGAUUAGAUACCCUGGUAGUCCACGCCGUAAACGAUGUCUACUUGGAGGUUGUGCCCUUGAGGCGUGGCUUCCGGAGCUAACGCGUUAAGUCGACCGCCUGGGGAGUACGGCCGCAAGGUUAAAACUCAAAUGAAUUGACGGGGGCCCGCACAAGCGGUGGAGCAUGUGGUUUAAUUCGAUGCAACGCGAAGAACCUUACCUACUCUUGACAUCCAGAGAACUUAGCAGAGAUGCUUUGGUGCCUUCGGGAACUCUGAGACAGGUGCUGCAUGGCUGUCGUCAGCUCGUGUUGUGAAAUGUUGGGUUAAGUCCCGCAACGAGCGCAACCCUUAUCCUUUGUUGCCAGCGGUUCGGCCGGGAACUCAAAGGAGACUGCCAGUGAUAAACUGGAGGAAGGUGGGGAUGACGUCAAGUCAUCAUGGCCCUUACGAGUAGGGCUACACACGUGCUACAAUGGCAUAUACAAAGAGAAGCGACCUCGCGAGAGCAAGCGGACCUCAUAAAGUAUGUCGUAGUCCGGAUUGGAGUCUGCAACUCGACUCCAUGAAGUCGGAAUCGCUAGUAAUCGUGGAUCAGAAUGCCACGGUGAAUACGUUCCCGGGCCUUGUACACACCGCCCGUCACACCAUGGGAGUGGGUUGCAAAAGAAGUAGGUAGCUUAACCUUCGGGAGGGCGCUA
rnacentral:rRNA from 1 species